ensembl:lncRNA
GACUCUUGUGGUGGUUAAUCUGGGGCCCAAUCUUCAUGCCUUCCUGGCCUAUUCAGUUAUAGGAUCACAAGUCCUCUUGGCAUGAGGGCUGUGGAAGUGCCGUGGCAGAAAUGAUGAAGACGACGCCGGGAAAGUAAGAAAGGUUCCAGUUUCUGCAGUCGUGGGAUUCCGAAAGCAGUGUGAUCACUCUCAGAUCUAAAAGUUGUAGAUCCCAAGGGAGGGUUACUGACACCAAGGAAUGCAACGGAUGCAGUUAAGGAGGAAGCUGAGACUGUCACCUGGUCACUUUGACUUGUUACUGAAGCCACAGAUACCAGGAAUCAUCAGAACAUUCUGGUGUGAACAGUUAAGAAACAGAACUGUUUCAGAGUCCUGUUUUGCUACAGUGUUCUAUACUGAGGGGCCACUGAAUAAUAUAAUUAAAACAGGCUGCAGAAAAGGCUCAAGAUGGUGGAGUAGAAAGACCCUGAGCUCACCACCUCUUACGGGUACACCAAGAUGACAAUUUACAGAACUAUCAAUGAAAAAGACUUGAACCUACCAGAAAAUAUAUCCUACAACUAAAGAUAUGAAGAAAGAACACUGAUGAGAUGGGUAGGAUGGGCAGAGUUGGGAUAAGGUCAAGACCCAUAUCCCUGGGAAGGCAAUCCACAAAUAGGAAAAAAAUUACACUUGCAGAGGUUCUCCCCAAGGAGCAAGGGAUGUGAACUCCAUAUAGUGCUCUCCAGCCUGGGGGUCCUGCCCUGGGGAGGUGAGUCCUCAGAACGUUUGGCUUUGAAGGCCAGUCGGGCUUACUUUUGGGAGACCCAGUGGGCUGUGAGAAAUAGACACUCCACUUUUAAAGAGUGUACAAUGGGAGUUCCCAUUGUGGCUCAGUGGGUUAUACACCCAACGAGUACCCACCCAUGAGGAUGUGGGUUUGAUCCCUGACUUUACUCAGUAGGUUAAAGAUGCCAGAGCUACGGUGUAGGUCACAGAUGUGGGUGAGAUUUUGUGUUACUGUGGCCAUGGCUGGCAGCUGCAGCUCUGAUUUAACUCCUAGCCUGAGAACUUUCAUAUGCCACAGGUGCGGCCCUAAAAAGCAAAAAAAAAAAAAAAGGGGGGGGGGGGAGUACACACAAAAUCUUACAUGUUCUAGGACCCAGGGCAGGAGUCAUUUGAAAGGGUCAGACUUACCUGGUGAUGAUCUUGGAGAGUCUCUUGGAGAUAUAGGAAGCAAGUGGAGCUCACCCUGGGAACAUAGACACUGGUGUCAACCAUUUGGGGGAGCUCUUUUCCCCAUGUGCUUGUGAGCACUGUUUUGGAAUCCUUCCACUAGUUUAUUAGCCCCAGGCCCUGCCCCCUCCUACCCACCAACCUUAAGCACCAGUAUUGGAAUUCCUCAGGCCAAGCAACUAACUAUGUAGGGACACAGCCCCACCCACCAGUAGAAAGGCUGCCUUAACACUCCCUGAGUCCAUAGCCACCCAUGGACACCGCCCUGAUCACCACAGGGGCCAGGACCCAGUUCCACACACCAGUGUUCGACAUUCAGAACAGCUUUAGCCCCAGCCUCUUUUACCAGCAAUCAACACAGGCUUUGGGACAUCCUGGGCCCUGUAGUUAGACUCCAGGACCCAGCUCUGCCCAUCAGUGGGUUGGCACGAGCCCAGGACCUAACCACCAAGACCUGACCUCACCCUUCUGAAUGUGAGCAUCAGUCUCAAGAUCUCCUGGAGCCUGAAUCUGCCCACUGGUGAGCCAGCAUUAACUCUGAGG